rnacentral:rRNA from 1 species
CCUACGGGAGGCAGCAGUGAGGAAUAUUGGACAAUGGGCGCAAGCCUGAUCCAGCCAUGCCGCGUGCAGGAAGACGCAUCUAUGGUGUGUAAACUGCUUUUGUACGGGAAGAAACACUCCCUCGUGAGGGAGCUUGACGGUACCGUAAGAAUAAGGAUCGGCUAACUCCGUGCCAGCAGCCGCGGUAAUACGGAGGAUCCAAGCGUUAUCCGGAAUCAUUGGGUUUAAAGGGUCCGUAGGCGGUUUAAUAAGUCAGUGGUGAAAGCCCAUCGCUCAACGAUGGAACGGCCAUUGAUACUGUUAGACUUGAAUUACUAGGAAGUAACUAGAAUAUGUAGUGUAGCGGUGAAAUGCUUAGAUAUUACAUGGAAUACCAAUUGCGAAGGCAGGUUACUACUAGUGGAUUGACGCUGAUGGACGAAAGCGUGGGGAGCGAACAGGAUUAGAUACCCUGGUAGUCCACGCCGUAAACGAUGGAUACUAGCUGUUGGGCGCAAGUUCAGUGGCUAAGCGAAAGUGAUAAGUAUCCACCUGGGGAGUACGUUCGCAAGAAUGAAACUUAAAGGAAAUUGACGG